rnacentral:lncRNA from 1 species
CUUCCCUUCAUCUGACACAUCAGGUCUUCUAGGAGAAUCCACAUAUGGGCCACAAUGUGGAGGUGGGAGUGGCCAUGCUGCGCACAGGGGCUGACUCAGAGCCUAGAGGAUGAAGCUGGAUCAGGAAUGUGGUAAAACGCUACUCAAAGGGGGUGCUUAGGAGCCAUUGCAAGUUCUGAAAGGACAGGAGAAUGAGAAUCUGUUCUUAAGAGACGACCACUCUGAGUAACUCGGCUGAAUGCAUCCUAUCCAUUUAUCAGUAACUCUAGUUCCCUUCCUUGGAAUGGAGAAGUGUCAG